CAAAGAAANUNGACGGGGGCCNGCNCAAGCGNCGGAGCAUGCGGANUAAUUCGNNGCAACGCGAAGAACCUUACCAAGGCUUGACAUAUACUGGACUGCGUCAGAGAUGGCGUUUCCCUUCGGGGCUGGUAUNCAGGUGGUGCAUGGUUGUCGUCAGCUCGNGUNNNNNGAUGUUGGGUUAAGUCCCGCAACGAGCGCAACCCUCGUUCUAUGUUGCCAGCACGUGAUGNNGGGGACUCAUAGGAGACUGCCGGGGUCAACUCGGAGGAAGGUGGGGAUGACGUCAAAUCAUCAUGCCCCUUAUGUCUUGGGCUUCACGCAUGCUACAAUGGCCGGUACAGAGGGUUGCGAUACUGUGAGGUGGAGCUAAUCCCUAAAAGCCGGUCUCAGUUCAGAUUGGGGUCUGCAACUCGACCCCAUGAAGUCGGAGUCGCUAGUAAUCGCAGAUCAGCAACGCUGCGGUGAAUACGUUCCCGGGCCUUGUACACACCGCCCGUCAAGUCACGAAAGUUGGUAACACCCGAAGCCGGUGGCCUAACCC
rnacentral:rRNA from 1 species